GACGGCCUAAUACCGUAUGACGUCGUUUGCCGACAUCGAAAAGACGACCAAAGGGUUUGGCGGUGAUGGAUGGGGAUGCGUCUGAUUAGCUUGUUGGCGGGUAACGGCCCACCAAGGCGACGAUCAGUAGGGGUUCCUGAGAGGAAGGUCCCCCCGCAUUGGGAACUGAGACACGGUCCAAACUCCUACGGGAGGCAGCAGUGAGGAAUAUUGGGUCAAUGGGCGAGAGCCUGAACCAGCCAAGUAGCGUGCAGGAUGACGGCCCUAUGGGUUGUAAACUGCUUUUACGCGGGGAUAAAGUGCGUGACGUGUCUCGCAUUGCAGGUACCGCGUGAAUAAGGACCGGCUAAUUCCGUGCCAGCAGCCGCGGUAAU
rnacentral:rRNA from 1 species